rnacentral:rRNA from 1 species
GACGAACCGUGCGAACGUUAUUCGGAAUCACUGGGCUUAAAGCGCGUGUAGGCGGAUUGGAGCGUCGGUGCCUGAAAUCCCCCGGCUCAACCGGGGAACGUGGCCCGAAACGGCCAGUCUGGAGGGACGUAGGGGGGUCUGGAACUUCCGGUGGAGCGGUGAAAUGCGUUGAGAUCGGAAGGAACGCCCGUGGCGAAAGCGAGACCCUGGACGUCUACUGACGCUGAGACGCGAAAGCUAGGGGAGCGAACGGG